rnacentral:tRNA from 1 species
GGCCCAUUAGCUCAGUCAGCUGAUCAUAGCGCUAACAAGGCUAAGGUUGCGGGUUCGAUUCCCGUUCGGUCCC